rnacentral:rRNA from 1 species
CAUAGUUUUUUGUUUUUAUAAAAAAUAAUACCUGCUCGGUGAAAAAUUUUAACAGCCGCAGUAAUUUGACUGUGCUAAGGUAGCAUAAUCAUUUGUCUUUUAAUUGAGGACUUGUAUGAAUGGUUUGACGAAAAAAUAAUUGUUUCUUAUAUUAUUAUUGAAUUUUACUUUUAAGUAAAAAGGCUUAAAUUAAUUUAAGGGACGAAAAGACCCUAUUAAGUUUAAUAAAUUUAAUUUUUAUUUUUCGUAAUAAUACUUUUUUUUAUUUGGCUGGGGUGGUAAAAAUAGAAUAUCUUUUUUUAUUUUGUUAAUUUAUUAAUUUAUUUUUUGAUCUUUUGAUUUUAAUUAUUAGAUUAAAUUGCUAUAGGGAUAACAGCAUAAUUUAUUUGGAAAGUUCAAAUUGAUAAAUAAGAUUGUGACCUCGAUGUUGGGUUAAAAUUUUACUUUUUAAUGAAGUAGUUAAAAAAGUAAGUCUGUUCGACUUUUAAAUUUUUACGUGA